rnacentral:rRNA from 1 species
GGAUGGACAUGCGUCGCAUUAGGUAGACGGCGGGGUAACGGCCCACCGUGCCGACGAUGCGUAGGGGUUCUGAGAGGAAGGCCCCCCACACUGGUACUGAGACACGGACCAGACUCCUACGGGAGGCAGCAGUGAGGAAUAUUGGUCAAUGGCCGAGAGGCUGAACCAGCCAAGUCGCGUGAGGGAAGAAUGUCCUAAGGAUUGUAAACCUCUUUUGUCGGGGAGCAAAAAGGCUCUGCGGAGUCGUAUUGAGAGUACCCGAAGAAAAAGCAUCGGCUAACUCCGUGCCAGCAGCCGCGGUAAUACGGAGGAUGCGAGCGUUAUCCGGAUUUAUUGGGUUUAAAGGGUGCGCAGGCGGCGUGUCAAGCAAGCGGUAAAAUAGCGGGGCUCAACCCCGUCGAGCCGUUUGAACUGGCGCGCUUGAGUUCAGGCGAGGUAGGCGGAAUUCGUGGUGUAGCGGUGAAAUGCAUAGAUAUCACGAAGAACUCCGAUUGCGAAGGCAGCUUACCAGUCUGCGACUGACGCUCAGGCACGAAAGUGUGGGUAUCGAACAGGAUUAGAUACCCUGGUAGUCCACACAGUAAACGAUGAGCGCUAGGUGUCCGGGUCGCAUGAGACUUGG